AUUUCUCUAAAAGAAUUGCUUUGUACAUUUCUUUAUUGUAUGGAUAUAUGGAUGUGUGGACGCACGCCAUGGUGUGCAUAUGGAGGUAACAACAUGUGGGAGUCAGUUCUCUCCUGAGGGUUACAAGGGUUUAACUCUGGUUUUCAGGCUCAGGUGGAAGAGCCUUUUCCUACUGAGCUAUCUCUACAGCUCUAGAACUAAGUUUUUAGACAUGUAGUUGGGGGCCAGGUACAGUAGUGCACAUCUUUUAACCCAGCAACCCAGGGUCUUAUAUAUGCCAGGCAAACCCUAUCACUGACCUAUACCCUAGCACUGUUUCGGUGUUUUUUUUUCCCCCCAGACAGGGUUUCUCUGUGUAACAGCUCUGGCUGUCCUGGAACUACCUCUGUAGACCAGGACAGCCUCCAAAACCACAGAGAAACCCUGUCUCAAAAAGCCAAAAAGAAUUUAAAAAAACCCUCCAAACAGCUAUUUCUAUAUUCUAUGCAUUUCUUCAUUGUGCUUUACUUUUUCCUACCUUCCGUAGCCUCUGUUACUUUUACAUGUGCAGUCAUGCAUUGUAGUGAAAAGGCGUCAUUGUGGGAAAUACACCUUUGUCAUUGUGUAAAUAUUAGAGGAGUGUACUUAACAACACAGCAAUCACUAGAUAGUAUCUUAUGAGACCAUUGUUGUCUAUGUGGCCUGCCAUUGAACAAACUGUUAUUUUGUAGCAAAUUGUAUCAUAGCCAACUACAAGCUACAAUGUAUAAAUUCAGAGUCUUUGUUUCCUGCUGCAGCUCUCAAACUAGGAUCCAUUCUAUAUAUAUUUACUAACCCUCUCAACAGGUUACAAAGUCUCUGGGGGUAGGAGGCUGGAGAAGUUGGCUAGAGUACAUUGGUUACUCUUCCAGGGGUCCUGGGUUUGAUUCCCAGCACCCACAUGGACCUGAUACCAUCUCUGGCCAUUUUUAUAGCCCUACCUUUGUUUUUAUUUAAGGUAAGGUCUCCAUAUACUCCAGGCUGUCCCCAAACUUGCUGGAUACCUGUGGAUGACCUUGUACUUCUGAACUCCUGUGGUGGUUUGAAUGAGAAAGGCCCCCAGAGGCUCAUCUAUGCCAAUGCUUGGUGCCCCAUUGGUGGAACUGUUUGGAGGAGGUAUGUCAUUUGGGGACAUGUUUUAGGUUUCAAAAGCCCAGGCUAUUCCCAGUAAUCUCUCUCACUCUGCCUUGUGGCUUAUAUCUCUCAAUUUUUGCUCCAGAGCCAUGUCUGCCUGCUUGUUGCCAUCCUUCCUGAUGUGAUUUUCAUGGAUUCAUCCCCUGAAAUUGUAAAACCCUAAUGUAAACUUUCUUCUAGAAGUUGCCUUGGUCACCGCGCCUUAUCACAGGAAUCAAAAAGUAGCUAAGGGGCUGGAGAGAUGGUUCAGAGGUUAAGAGCACUGGCUGUAGUAGCACAGACCUUGAGGUCUGCGAUUAAUAAAUGGGACCUCCUGAAACUGAGAAGCUUCUGCAAGGCAAAGGAAACAGUCAGUAGGACAAAACGACCACCCACAGAAUGGGAAAAGAUCUUCACCGAUCCCACAUCU
ensembl:lncRNA